rnacentral:rRNA from 1 species
UGGGGAAUAUUGGACAAUGGGCGAAAGCCUGAUCCAGCCAUGCCGCGUGUGUGAAGAAGGUCUUCGGAUUGUAAAGCACUUUAAGUUGGGAGGAAGGGCAGUAAGCGAAUACCUUGCUGUUUUGACGUUACCGACAGAAUAAGCACCGGCUAACUCUGUGCCAGCAGCCGCGGUAAUACAGAGGGUGCAAGCGUUAAUCGGAAUUACUGGGCGUAAAGCGCGCGUAGGUGGUUCGUUAAGUUGAAUGUGAAAGCCCCGGGCUCAACCUGGGAACUGCAUCAAAAACUGGCGAGCUAGAGUAGGGCAGAGGGUGGUGGAAUUUCCUGUGUAGCGGUGAAAUGCGUAGAUAUAGGAAGGAACACCAGUGGCGAAGGCGACCACCUGGGCUCAUACUGACACUGAGGUGCGAAAGCGUGGGGAGCAAACAGG